rnacentral:rRNA from 1 species
AAUGAACGCUGGCGGCAUGCCUAACACAUGCAAGUCGAACGAAGGCUUCGGCCUUAGUGGCGCACGGGUGCGUAACGCGUGGGAAUCUGCCCUUGGGUUCGGAAUAACAGCGAGAAAUUGCUGCUAAUACCGGAUGAUGACGUAAGUCCAAAGAUUUAUCGCCCAAGGAUGAGCCCGCGUAGGAUUAGCUAGUUGGUGAGGUAAAGGCUCACCAAGGCGACGAUCCUUAGCUGGUCUGAGAGGAUGAUCAGCCACACUGGGACUGAGACACGGCCCAGACUCCUACGGGAGGCAGCAGUGGGGAAUAUUGGACAAUGGGCGAAAGCCUGAUCCAGCAAUGCCGCGUGAGUGAUGAAGGCCUUAGGGUUGUAAAGCUCUUUUACCCGGGAUGAUAAUGACAGU